ACACAAGUAGCUCAGUCAGUAAGAGAAUGAGACUCUUAAUCUCAUGGUCAUUAGUUCAAGCCCUGCAUUGGGCA